rnacentral:rRNA from 1 species
GACGUAGGGGGCCAGCGUUGCUCGGAAUUACUGGGCGUAAAGGGUCCGUAGGCGGUGCGGUAAGUCGGGAGUGAAAUCUCUGGGCUUAACUCAGAGGCUGCUUCCGAAACUACCGUGCUAGAGUGCGAGAGAGGCAAGUGGAAUUGCGGGUGUAGCGGUGAAAUGCGUAGAUAUCCGCAGGAACAUCGAGGCGAAACGGCUGCUGGAUCGCAACUGACGUGAGGGACGAAAGCUAGGGGAGCAAACAGG